rnacentral:rRNA from 1 species
GACGGGGGGGGCUAGUGUUAUUCAACAUGACUGGGCGUAAAGCGUCUGUAGGCGGUUAAUUAAGUUAGGGACUAACCUUGAAGUUUGUUAUACUGAUUAACUUGAGUUUAAUAGAGGGAGGUAGUACACCCAUCGUAGGGGUAGAAUCCAGAGAUGAUGGGGGGACUAGCAGAGGCGAAGGCGACCUCCUGGUUUAAGACUGACGCUGAGAGACUAAAGCGUGGGGAUCAAACAGG